GUGGAUUCAAUCAAUGUGGGGAAAAAGUCGGAUUUGAAUAUUGAUUAGUAUUACACACCAAGUAUCAACUUCUUGUUUCCUUGGACAAUAUCAUUCCCACAAACAUUAACAAGAGAGAAAUUCAACUCUUUUCCGAUCCGAAUAAUCUGAUUGCAGUUCUCGACUUUUCUGAAUGGCAUUUUUAUUGGAGGCUUUAAAGCGUGCUUUCAAAUCACUGAUCCUGGAUAUACUUUAUUAAGUACUUCGAGAAGUACCCAUCUGCUCACAUUAAAUAUGAUAUUAGAUUGCAGCCUCUUGUCAUUUCCAACCAUCUGAAUUUCUGAUUGUUAAAUUAUAAAUUAUUUACCCAUUUCUAACGUCUUCGAAGACAUUAUUGACGUAUGUUUCAAUCCCAAGACUGUUGAUUCAUAGUCUAAAUACUUUCUCUUCUCUUAUUGUCAAUAUAUCAUCUGAGGUUGUUUGUGCAUAUGUUUUCUUUUUGUCUUCUGUGGGUGCUGAUAGACCAUUCCUGUCAAAAAAAUAUGCACACCAUAUCAUUAGAUUAACAGUAAUAAAUUAUUUGUUCAUUAUCAUUUAGACAUCACCAUCACCAUCAUUAGAUAUCUAUAUGCAUUUCUUAAUUUCAAUCAAUUAAAUUUAAAAGGAAAUGUAUUAUCAAUAUAUAAAACUAUAAAAAGGAAUGAAUACAAAAUUUUCUAGAAAAAAGCAAGGAUCUGCUAACUUACUAAGAGCUGACUUUAAAUAUUUUAUAAACUGAAAAUAUCUCUCUAAAAAAAUAUAAAACAUAUAACCAAUGUAAGGAAGUAUGUCAGAACCCCACAAAACAUAUAUCCAUCUAUCCAUGUCAGAAACAUAUAACCCCACAAAACAUCGUGUUUUUUAUCCAUCUAUCCAUAACCAUCCAUCUUGUAUUAGAGUAGACAAUCCCAUCAUUCACAUGUAUUAAGAUUCUAAAUAACAAAUGGUAUCACAGAAAAUCAUAUUCUCAUUAAAUUGGUUUCGUCUUCUUAUUAGUUCAAGUUUAAUUUUAUUAUUUUGUUUCGUCUUUUUGUUUUCAGAUUUUAUCUCUACAUUCUCAAAUUUCCGCCGGACUGCAUAUCUUCAUCUCCUCAUCUAUUGUCGGCGACUUUCAUAGG
rnacentral:lncRNA from 1 species